CUUAUGGGAGUGCCUGGCUGUUGGGAUGACUGGAAGUGACUGAUUCCCAAAAAUGUUGGCAUUUGUUGAUAAAUAUGAAUAUGUGCCACUGGGGCUUCCCUACCCGAAGCUGAGAACCAACACAAGUCACAGUGUAAAGUCUUCUAGAACUCUAAGCUCCUCCUGCCAACAGAUGGAAUAGCGUGGCCCCAUCAAGGCCUCACACAGCAGUAGCUGAGACAAUGGUGUCAGCAUGAGUAGCAUCAUGGUGUGGUCACAAAGAGCACUGUUCUAGGAUCCUUGAAAAUCACCCAGCCAAACUCUUUCCAAUUCCAGAUUGGGCAGUGAGGCUCAGAAAAGUGAAUUGGUUUGGUCAAGAUCAUGUGUCAGUGGUGGACCCAAGUCUAGAAGACACAGUCUAGAAGGCCCAAGCCAGCACUCUGUGGCCAACCAUGCAGCCUCCCUGUCACAAGACAAGGCUACAUAACAUACGGUACUGACUCAGGACAACUCACUCUGCCUAUGUGACCCAAAGAGCAAUUAUUCCGUGACUGACUAAUGGGAAUAAAGUCACUUGGAACAUUUCA